rnacentral:rRNA from 1 species
AGAGUUUGAUCAUGGCUCAGAUUGAACGCUGGCGGCAGGCCUAACACAUGCAAGUCGAACGGUAACAGGAAGCAGCUUGCUGCUUCGCUGACGAGUGGCGGACGGGUGAGUAAUGUCUGGGAAACUGCCUGAUGGAGGGGGAUAACUACUGGAAACGGUGGCUAAUACCGCAUAACGUCGCAAGACCAAAGAGGGGGACCUUCGGGCCUCCUUGCCAUCAGAUGUGCCCAGAUGGGAUUAGCUAGUUGGUGAGGUAACGGCUCACCAAGGCGACGAUCCCUAGCUGGUCUGAGAGGAUGACCAGCCACACUGGAACUGAGACACGGUCCAGACUCCUACGGGAGGCAGCAGUGGGGAAUAUUGCACAAUGGGCGCAAGCCUGAUGCAGCCAUGCCGCGUGUAUGAAGAAGGCCUUCGGGUUGUAAAGUACUUUCAGCGGGGAGGAAGGUGUUGUGGUUAAUAACCGCAGCAAUUGACGUUACCCGCAGAAGAAGCACCGGCUAACUCCGUGCCAGCAGCCGCGGUAAUACGGAGGGUGCAAGCGUUAAUCGGAAUUACUGGGCGUAAAGCGCACGCAGGCGGUCUGUCAAGUCGGAUGUGAAAUCCCCGGGCUCAACCUGGAACUGCAUUCGAAACUGGCAGGCUUGAGUCUUGUAGAGGGGGGUAGAAUUCCAGGUGUAGCGGUGAAAUGCGUAGAGAUCUGGAGGAAUACCGGUGGCGAAGGCGGCCCCCUGGACAAAGACUGACGCUCAGGUGCGAAAGCGUGGGGAGCAAACAGGAUUAGAUACCCUGGUAGUCCACGCCGUAAACGAUGUCUACUUGGAGGUUGUGCCCUUGAGGCGUGGCUUCCGGAGCUAACGCGUUAAGUAGACCGCCUGGGGAGUACGGCCGCAAGGUUAAAACUCAAAUGAAUUGACGGGGGCCCGCAACAAGCGGUGGAGCAUGUGGGUUUAAUUCGAUGCAACGCGAAGAACCUUACCUGGUCUUGACAUCCACAGAACUUUCCAGAGAUGGAUUGGUGCCUUCGGGAACUGUGAGACAGGUGCUGCAUGGCUGUCGUCAGCUCGUGUUGUGAAAUGUUGGGUUAAGUCCCGCAACGAGCGCAACCCUUAUCCUUUGUUGCCAGCGGUUAGGCCGGGAACUCAAAGGAGACUGCCAGUGAUAAACUGGAGGAAGGUGGGGAUGACGUCAAGUCAUCAUGGCCCUUACGACCAGGGCUACACACGUGCUACAAUGGCGCAUACAAAGAGAAGCGACCUCGGCGAGAGCAAGCGGACCUCAUAAAGUGCGUCGUAGUCCGGAUUGGAGUCUGCAACUCGACUCCAUGAAGUCGGAAUCGCUAGUAAUCGUGGAUCAGAAUGCCACGGUGAAUACGUUCCGGGCCUUGUACACACCGCCCCGUCACACCAUGGGAGUGGGUUGCAAAAGAAGUAGGUAGCUUAACCUUCGGGAGGGCGCUUACCACUUUGUGAUUCAUGACUGGGGUGAAGUCGUAACAAGGUAACCGUAGGGGAACCUGCGGUUGGAUCACCU